CGAAGAGAAAAAGAAACUAAAAGAAAUGAGGUUCGGCAGCGCGUUUAAGGUAGCUCGGAUUUUGCUUCUUCUGCUGGUUAUUUUCCCAUUCGUGAAUGCCAAGAAGUCAGGCGAUGUGACCGAGCUACAGAUCGGGGUCAUGCAUAGGCCCAAAUCAUGUGAAUUCCAGGCUCAUAAAGGUGAUAGAAUCAAAGUGCACUAUCGGGUAUGAUUGCUUCAACUUGAUUUUUAAUUUUGAUCAAUCUUGGAUUUUUUUAAUUUGGUGUUAAUAAAUGGGCUAAAAGAUUUUGAGAUUGCUGCAUGUCAACUUGUUUCAACAUUUCGGUCAUGGUUCCUUUCGUUUGAUUCUGAAAACAGGAAUUUGGUUUAGUAAUUUUCUGCAUUAUAUUUCAAAUUUCAGAGUAAAGUGCCAUAGAUUAGGAUAGUUUUGUGGGCAUCGUGUAUUGUGGU